UACAGAGGGGGCAAGCGUUGUUCGGAAUUACUGGGCGUAAAGGGCGCGUAGGCGGCUUUAUAAGUCGGGGGUGAAAGCCUGUGGCUCAACCACAGAAUUGCCUUCGAUACUGUAUGGCUUGAGACCGGAAGAGGUAAGUGGAACUGCGAGUGUAGAGGUGAAAUUCGUAGAUAUUCGCAAGAACACCAGUGGCGAAGGCGGCUUUCUGGACGACAACUGACGCUGAGACGCGAAAGCGUGGGGAGCAAACAGG
rnacentral:rRNA from 1 species